rnacentral:ncRNA from 1 species
GCGCGUGGACGACCUCGCGGCUUCUCCAUUUUCCCGGCCGGGACGACCCGC